rnacentral:rRNA from 1 species
UACGGAGGGGGGCUAGCGUUGUUCGGAAUUACUGGGCGUAAAGCGCACGUAGGCGGCUUUGUAAGUUAGAGGUGAAAGCCCGGGGCUCAACUCCGGAAUUGCCUUUAAAACUGCAUCGCUAGAAUUGUGGAGAGGUAAGUGGAAUUCCGAGUGUAGAGGUGAAAUUCGUAGAUAUUCGGAAGAACACCAGUGGCGAAGGCGACUACCUGGCCUGUUCUUGACGCUGAGGCGCGAAAGCUAGGGGAGCAAACGGG